AAAGGGGGGGGGAGGCGAUGCUCUGAAGCAGUUUCAGGAGGCCAGGGUUCAGGGUUCGGUGUAGGUUCGUUCAGGGAUUUGCUCCGCGGAGCCAUAAAUCUCCGGAGGGAGUGGGAGGGGAGGCUUAACGUGGAAACCGCCGCAUAUGAGAUAACAACCUGGUGGUCUUGGCUGGGCUCUUGUUUAUGAUAUGUAAACCGCAAAGACGAGGAACAGGCCCAUCUCUGCAGCCUGAUACAAUCCCGUGGAGGUGGGGGGGGGGGGGAGAAACCCCGGCUGCUCCCGCAGCUGAGCAGUUUAGGUCACCUUGGAGAUUUACAGCCCCAGCUCCAGAAUCGUAUUCAUUGCUUGUUGCAACUGAGCAAAGGAGACACCCAGUGGAAAGCAGACCAGGGGAAAACAGACCAGGCUCUGAGAUACAAUCAGGAGAGCUAAUAUUAAACAGCCCCUGGGACGUUAUCCGAAGGUAAUAAUCAGCAGACAAAAAGAGAGAGAAGGUCAGGCCAUCGCCUCCUUUUCCUUCCUGUCUUGCAAACGGAUCAAUUUCCAGCAAUCGUAACACAAGUCGAAGAGACUAUUCACGACGCUCAGCUGCAAUGUUUACGGAUCGACUGGUCUCAUUGAUUGCACUGCUACCGUCCAAUCACUCAUUGAUGCCCCCGAAAUCCGGCGAAUCUAUCACGCGAUCUCGGUUGCCCUUUUAUGUCUCGGGAGGACACUGCGUUUUCUUUGCUCUCAAUGACUUGGUAAGGGCUGGAGAUACAGAGAGCGAAACCGUAGGCUGCGUUUGAAGUUCGGUUUCAGAUACAUAUACAAUGCUGGCGCUCAGUCCACUUUGCUCACACUGUUGCUACCAACGGCCUGGUGCUUGUGGUCAGAAAUAGCACACAUGCGCAAGCUCCCAGCUUGUGUUCAGGAGGAUGUGUUCAGGAUUACUGCAUUCCGGAAUAAGGACUACCUACCCUUGGUUCCCUCCUCAUGAUAGCACACAAGGACGUCUUCUGCGACAUACACUUUUGGGCUGCCCCAGAUCACUCCCUAAACCACCCUGAGCCUAAGUAGCACAUAGCU